UUUACCUUUUCGUGGAGUGACUUAACCAAUUCCGCCUUCUUUUUGCCAUCUAAACUACCACGUUCAUUCACAGGUAAAGGAAUUAAAUCCAAAAGAGUUAAUGGAUUAAAACCAUAUACAAUUUCAAAUGGAGAAUAUGACGUAGUAGAGUGAACAGCUCGAUUGUAUGCAAAUUCAACAAAUGGUAGACACUCCUCCCAACUCUUCAAA
rnacentral:lncRNA from 1 species